rnacentral:rRNA from 1 species
AGAGGGCGUGAAACCGCUUAGAAGGAAACGAGAGGCGCCGCGGUUUGCCUUCAAGGUUCAGCGGACUGGCUGCUCUCUGAGCGGUUGGCCUGUGCAUUUCUUGUUGGUAUGCACUGGGUGCCGUGUUGGUUGUGCUGUUCGCAUUCAUCAGUGGAGCACGAAUGUGCAGUUCGGGUGAUUGUGCACUGUGUGGCCGGUACGGUUGUCAAGCGUUCUGUGAAGCUCGGUGUGGGAUGAUCAUUUGUUGUCUCUCUGCAGUUGGUUUUCCGGCUGUCGAGUGAUGUGUCUUGUGAUUCCUUUGCUGAGGAGACGCCUUCCCGGUGUGAACGUCGGCUACCCUCCCGACCCGUCUUGAAACACGGACCAAGGAGUCUAACAUGUGCGCGAGUCGGUGGGUGUCAAACCUACAGGCGUAAUGAAAGUAAAGGCCAGCUUGGUUGGCUGACACACGACCCUUUCAGCUUGCUGUUUGGAGCAGUGUGGUCCCAUCUUAGAUGCUUGUCAUCGAGGUGGAGAUUGAGCGUACCUGUUGGGACCCGAAAGAUGGUGAACUAUGCCUGAAC